rnacentral:lncRNA from 1 species
GAAAGACACGAAGCAUGAGAGGGACUCGGCCUACUAUUGCUGGCUUUGGAAAUGAAGGGGCAAUGAGCCAAGGAAUACGGGAAGCCCCAGAAAGUGAAGAACAACCCUGACCAGAAAACUAGCAAGAAAACAAGACCAAAGCCUCAUAUACACAUGCAACUGAACUCUGCCAGCAACCUGAAUGAUCCUGAAAGUAGAUUCCCCCUAGACCUUGGGGAGACUGAAGACAUGGCUAAGAUAAUAAAAUUGAAAAACAGAGGAAUUAACCAGCCUGCUCAAGUCACACAGCCAAUAUGUGGCAAGGCUGGGAAGUGAAUCCAGAAAAUCUGACUCAAGAUGAAGCAGUGAACCCAAGCUUACAUAGCAAGUUUGUGACAGAAGAUGUCUGACAAGCUUCUCUCUAUGCUACGCUGCCUCUGCUGAGUAAGUUCUUUCACUUCCAUGCAGAGGCACUCAAAAGUACAGAAUCAUGCUGGAACAAUGGGCACCCAGAUAUCAAGUUUACAAAUUUACAAAUUUGAUCUCAUUGCUUCCUCCAACAUGUUGAAGUUUCUGAAUCUCUCUUUAGUGUCUCUCUGGUGCUAAGUAUAGGGUCUUGCUCACAGGAGCUGCUCCAUCACGGAGGACUGAGGACUAAAAGGCCACUGGGGAUUAACUAUCUCGCUUUGAUGGUAGGCAGAGUGAGAAAGGAAGCUAUAUCCACAUGGCUGAGGUUGUAAAUCAAGGCUAGGAAGAAACCACCUUCUGGAAGUCACACAAGACAGAGGACUUCCUAGUUAUAUCUGUGACACAUGGACCUGCCUAGGAGAAUUAAUUACAACUAAAGACAUGAACUGGAAGGUAGUCAGCAUCCAUUCUGGAGGUCUGCUUGGUGCUGAUCUCUCUCGGGACAUGGCCGUGUCUGCCCCAGUCAGGGCCUCCUCUCAAAGAAUGGCAUUUUCUUGUGUUUUGUACCUAAGCCGGCAGCACAGAUAGCAUCACUUUGCCUUUCCACCACUAGCCUUCAGAGAUGUGGCGGAACCAUAAUUGGAACCUUUCAAA